UCUGGCCAGGUGUGGCAGGUACCUAUAGUCCUAGCUACUUGGAAGACUGAGGCAGGAGGAUCACUUGAGCCCAGGAUUUCAGGGCCAGCCUAUGCAACAUAGUGAGACCCUGUUUCUU
rnacentral:sRNA from 1 species